GCUAUUAGUUUAGAAUUAUUAUAUUACCUAUUAGUUCAUGAGCAUUUUUUCCAAAAUGUCUAACAUGGAUGUAAAACUGUGGCAAUGUAAUAACACAAUAGAAAAAUAUAUGACUACACAAUGGCACUCCAAACUACAUCAGUGCUUAUACGAGCCAUGUCUAUGUGCAGUUUCUUGCACUAAUAACUGAACCUUGUCAUCUUAUCCAAUUUCUAAUGCAUGGUUGAGCUUGACGAAGCAAAAUCCAUACUCUGACCCAUAAAUAGUAUUCUAGCAAUACGUGCAAAUUUAGCUCUUGGUAUCAAAGGCAUAAUGGCCAGGGGAGGG
rnacentral:lncRNA from 1 species